CAAUAGCGUAUAUUAAAGUUGUUGCAGUUAAAAGCUCGUAGUUGGAUUUCUGGCCGAGUGUCCCUAGGCCAGCAUGACGUUUGGUCCUAGGCGCUCUGCCAUCCUUCUGUCAACCUUCGCCUUCUUCAGUUGGGGGGCGCGUGGGGCUCAGAUUAUUUUACCUUGAAGAAAAUUAGAGUUGUUUCAGGCAGGCUUUCGCCGGAAUACAUUAGCAUGGAAUAAUAGGAAAAGGACUUCAACCUCUUCUGUUGGUCUGAGAGGCUGUAGUAAUGAUUAAUAGGGAUAGGUUGGGGGCAUUAGUACUUAACUGUCAGAGGUGAAAUUCUCCGAUUUGUUAAAGACUAACUUAUGCG
rnacentral:rRNA from 1 species